UACGGGAGGCAGCAGUGGGGAAUAUUGCACAAUGGGCGAAAGCCUGAUGCAGCUAUGCCGCGUGUAUGAAGAAGGCCUUAGGGUUGUAAAGUACUUUCAUCGGGGAGGAAAAACAAAACUAAUAAUUUUAUUUCUUGACGUUACCCGAAAAAGAAGCACCGGCUAACUCCGUGCCAGCAGCCGCGGUAAUACGGAGGGUGCUAGCGUUAAUCAGAAUUACUGGGCGUAAAGAGCACGUAGGUGGUUUUUUUAAAGUCAGAUGUGAAAUCCCUGGGCUUAACCUGGAACUGCAUUUUGAAACUGAAAUACUAGAGUAUCGUAGAGGGAGGUAGAAUUCUAGGUGUAGCGGUGAAAUGCGUAGAUAUCUGGAGGAAUACCUGUGGCGAAAGCGGCCUACCGUAAACGAUACUGACACUGGAGGUGACGAAGUCGUGGGAGCAAACGAGGUAUUAGACUAC
rnacentral:rRNA from 1 species